CCUCGCAGGGGCCCUCAGGGGGUAGAAGUGAGAGUUCUGGCCUGGAGGACCGGGUCUCAUUUCCUGCGGGACAUCCUACAGGUGGCUUCCCUCCGUGGGCCUCAGUUUCCCCAUCUGGCAGCCGAGCUCGUCACACCGGGACAGGCACACUUGAAACCAGCCACCAUGCUGUGAGGAAGCCCAAGCCCUGCGGAGGGAUGACGUGACGCGUUCUGGCUGACGUCUCCAGUUAGGGCUCUCAGUUCACAACCAGCAUCACUCAGAUAGGUGAUGAACUGACAUCAUCCCAGCUGCCAGCCUCUGAGUCUUCUAGCCAAAGUCCCAGACGUGGAGCAGAGACAAGCCAACCUUGCUGUGCCCUGUCUGAAUUUCUCUCCCACAGAAACUGAGAGAUAAGAAGCGAUCAUUAUUGUUUUAAGCCAGUGGGAGAUGGAGUGACCACCAACAACAUGCAUUCCUAAGGUGGUCUGAUGGAGUGUGGGGCUCCAGCGAGGAAGUGGAGCCCUGGGCAGGAGGCAUCUCAUCAUGGAGACAGUCUGUUAUCUGAGAAAGCCAAGGCUUCCUGUUGGGCUCCCCUUGGGCAAAUGCCUGGCAUGGACAAAGGAAGAUGAUGAAAUAACAACCAUGAUGAAUGGCCACUGAAUGCUUUGCACACGCUGAAGAGCUUUCUGUGGAUUAUUUCACUGAAACCUCAGAGCAACUCUAUGAGGUCCCAGCUUUGUGGUCCUGGCCAGUAGUGGAUCCUUGAAACCUUCAGAUUGGGCACUGUCCUUGGCCACAAUACUCUCUGUUGAAGACUUUAUCCCCUCUCACAGGGAAGAACAAAGAGGGGCGAGGAAGAAAGAGAACUCAAUCCUGCUGAGCUUUGAGCCGAAUAAGCCUCUACUUGUUGUGGUCCAUUGGAAAAUAGAGUCCUGUUCCUUAAUAGAGUCGUAUAGCUUGGGAAACUGAGACCCAGGAGGCAGGAGAGGCCCCAUGUAGGCGAUGACACCAAACACUGACAGGAGAUGAAUUCCCAUAGGAAAGAUGUCUUUCCAAUACCAGUAGAAAAGUAACAUUCUUAUCAUCAAGGACAAGAAAUUGAGACCCGGAGAAUUCUAUCCAAACAGACCUUGUUAAAAUAACUCCACUUUCUUUAGCCUGCCCACAUAGUUGUGGCCUCAUAUAAAGCAAGAAAAUUAGUCCUGAAUGCACCUCUCACAUAAAAACUGGCCUGCUGGGAAGGGAGCACCUGCUCAGGGUUCCAGAGAAGUGUGAGGCCCUGCCCCAUCCUGGAGGAGCUCACGGCCAGGUGCACAGCCCCCGUCCUCCUCCCCACCGGUGGCGACCUGUGAUGCGAGUCAGGUGGGUGGAAAGGCAGGUAGAGGAAGCUGGGAGGAGUCUAGCAAAGAGAGGUGGACGGGGGCCAGGUGGAGACAGUAUGGAUGGCUGAGGGAGCUACAUGGGCAUUUUAGAGCAAGGGCAUUUAGAGCUCUGUCCUCCAGAGCAAGGACAAUGGGCAGAAGAGUUGGAGUGACCUGCCACCGGAAGCCACAAUUGUCCCUUCCCGUCCCACUGUACCAUAAUACCUCUGUUCUUGUCCUCUCAGCUUGACUGUUGGUUGCUUAAUUCGGUCAGGAAGUAUCUAUUGAGGAUUGUUCUAUGUACUAAGACCACACCAGGGAACAAAGUAUACCAAAAUUCCUGCCCUCAUGAUGCCUACAUUCUCGAAGGAGACAGAUCAUAAGCAAAAUAAACAGUUUACAUAGUAUAGCAGGUGAUAAGUACACUGUGGGAAAGCACAGCACCAAAGGUGACAGUGCAUGUUGGAUGUCUGCGCAUGCAUGAAUUAAAAAAAAAUUUUUUUACCAUUUAUUCAUUUUUGAGAGACAGCGGGAGACAGAGCAUGAGCA